rnacentral:lncRNA from 10 species
AUUUGAUCUUUGAUCACUGAUACUCUUUCUUCCACUUGAUCAAAUCAGCUACUGAAGCUUGUGCAUGUGUCACGUAGUUCUCUUGCCAUGGUUUUCAGCUCCAUCAGGUCAUUAAGGUCUUCUCUAUGCUGUUUAUUCUAGUUAGCCAUUCGUCUAAUCUUUUUUCAAGGUUUUUAGCUUCUUUGUGAUGGGUUGGAACAUCCUCCUUUAGUUCGAAGAAGUUUAUUACUACCCAUCGUCUGAAGUCUUCUCUCAACUCGUGAAAGUCAUUCUCCAUCCAACUUUGUUCCGUUGCUGGCAAGGAGCUGCUUUCCUUUGGAGGAGAAGAGGCACUCUGGUUUUUAGAAUUUUCAGCUUUUCUGCUCUGGUUUCUCCCCAUCUUUGUGGGUUUUAUCUACCUUUGGUCUUUGAUGAUGGUGACGUACAGAUGGGGCUUUGGUGUGGAUGUCCUUUCUGUUUGUUAGCUUUCCUUCUAACAGUCAGGACCCUCAGCUGCAGGUCUGUUGGAGUUUGCCUGGGUAUCACCAGUGGAGGCUGCAGAACAGCAAAUAUUGCUGCCUGAUCCUUCCUCUGGAAGCUUCGUCUCAGAGGGGCACCCGGCCAUAUGAGGUGUCAGUCAGUCCCUACUGGGAGGUGUUGCCUAGUUAGGCUACUUGGGGGUCAGGGACCCACUUGAGGAGGCAGUCUGUCCAUUCUCAGAUCUCAAACUCUGUGCUGGGAGAACCACUACUCUCUUCAAAGCUGUCAGACAGGGACGUUUAAGUCUGCAGAAGUUUCUGCUGCCUUUUUUUCGGCUAUGCCUUGGCCCCAGAGGUGGGAGUCUACAGAGGCAGGCAGGCCUCCUUGAGCUGUGGUAGGCUCCACCCCGUUUGAGCUUCCCAGCCACUUUACCUACUGAAGCCUCAGCAACGACAGAUGCCCCUUGCCCAGCCUCACUACAGCCUUGCAGUUUGAUCUCAGACUUCUGUGCUAGCAGUGAGCGAGGCUUCGUGGGCACGGGACACUCCGAGCCAGGCGUGGGAUAUAAUCUCCUGGUGUGCUGUUUGCUAAGACCAUUGGAAAAGCACAGUAUUAGGGUAGGAGUGUCCCGAUUUUCCACGUACCAUCUGUCAUGGCUUCCCUUAGCUAGGAAAGGGAAUUCCCCAACCCCUUGCAUUUCCCGGGUGAGGUGGUGCCCCGCCCUGCUUCGGCUCACUCUCCGUGGGCUGCACCCACUGUCCGACAAGCCCCAGUGAGAUGAACCCAGUACCUCAGUUGGAAAUGCAGAAAAUCACCCAUCUUCUGUGUCACUCAAGCUGGGAGCUGUAGACUGGAGCUGUUCCUAUUUGGCCAUCUUGGAACCUCCCUUAAAUCCAGAGUCAUCUAUUUUAACUGCACACUUGGGAAUAAAAGACAUCUUGGGCUAUAGGCCAAGAGCUUUCAGAGAAGAUAGCUUACAAAAUGUGGGGAGACUGGGUAUAGAAACAUUUACCCCUAUGCCUUAAGGAGUAAAUAAUUCUUUCACUGCUAAUUCCAACUAUUAACUUGGAACUACAGAAAUAUAACAUUUCAUUAUACCACAAAACAUCUUGUUAUUUCUAUUUUAG